UACAGAGGUCUCAAGCGUUGUUCGGAUUCAUUGGGCGUAAAGGGUGCGUAGGCGGCGCGGUAAGUCGGGUGUGAAAUCUCGGAGCUUAACUCCGAAACUGCAUUCGAUACUGCCGUGCUUGAGGACUGGAGAGGAGACUGGAAUUUACGGUGUAAGCGGUGAAAUGCGUAGAUAUCGUAAGGAAGACCAGUGGACGGAAGGCGGGUCUCUGGACAGUUCCUGACGCUGAGGCACGAAGGUCAGGGGAGCAAACGGG
rnacentral:rRNA from 1 species